CUAAAAUCUCCAGAAAAAAAUCCCGUUGUAUCCAAAGAAGGUUAAAUGGAACAAAAGAGCAUAAUGAGGAUAAAUGGGUGAGUGGGUGUGUGUGAAGCCUUGGAAGUGAAAUGCACGCAGGCUUCUCACUGCUGUGUGUACAGUAAGUAGGUGGAAUUAAACAAAGGAAUUCCCAGCCCCCUUUAAUCUAAACAUCUGACCCCAAGUGCAUCACUCAGUCGUCAAAGAGUGGAGGAAGGCAAUUCAGCCAUUUGCAUGGUGUGUACCCAGCUGGGGGAAAGUUCUACCUCCCCCACUGCACCAAUCCAUCUGGAUAUGUGAAUGGUUGUUAAGCACGGGGGCGCUUGAUGUAUCUGUUCCACUCCCUCUGCCCUCAAACUGCCUACAGGUUGACAGCUCAGCAGGCUGAGAACACUAAGACCUGGACUUGAGGAUGCGAGGAUGCCAUGGUCGAAUGUGAACACAAGUCCCUCUGGACAUCGGACCACAUGUCUGGGUGGGGAUGGUGGCUGGAGCGCUGUGGCUAUCUGGGGAAGGACCGUCAUGGAAGGGCUAUGUGAGUGAGCAAGAGCUAAAACCCGGAGAAGCGGAGUCUGCACAGUGCAACUCUUAUGUGCGCUGGGCAUGCUCAGAAGAAGGGGGUUGGUUUGGGUCCGAAGUCGGAGGCAGGCUUCUUCAGCGACGUGCUAGAGCAGGAGUGCCCGCGAAGCCUUGCAGUGCGUUAGAGAAGAUCCCACUUUACCCAAGUAGGCGUGGCCCACGUUCCUCCAGAGACUGAGAGGUGAGUACAAUCUCUUGGCAGUAGCCCCCCAACCCCCAGCCACAUACAAGCAGCCUCUCCCACUGACAAGCAAGAGCAACCCACAGGUCCAGACAACUCUGUGUGUGUGUGUGUGUGUGUGUGUGUGUGUGUAUGCGCGUGUGAAUGUGUAAACAUACUUUAUUGCUCUUAGGUACAGAAACUAGUCGGAGCAUCAAUUGCCUUAUUUUGUCAGCGUCCCAGGUCCAGUUCUUC
rnacentral:lncRNA from 1 species